UCGCUCGCGGCGUUGGCGCUCGAUUUCCCUUCCCUUCGCUCCCCUCCCCUCGAACCCUAGCCCUAGCCCUAACCCUAACGAGAGCAACGAGGAGCAGGAAUCGGCGCUGCGCGGCGCCACCGGCCGGGAGCUGUACCCACGCGCGAACCCUAACCCCGACCGGAUGCCGUGGUGAAGGAGGCGCGGCGCCACCAGCAGAUUUGGGUGUGGAGCGAUAACAAAGACGACGAGGAGGAGAGGGUGCGCCGCCGCCUCUUCCGCUUCCACGUGAAGCAUCCUGCAGUUGUGGUCUCGUCGAGGUCCGCAGAACUGGCGUGGGGAUGACUAAUCUUCUUAGAUCCUCGUGCGAUUAUGAGCAUAGGCUGUAUUGGAUGUGAUGUAAACACUUGUAAUGGAGGACGUUGCCCUGGACUGCUGUCUGACGGUUCGAGCGAAGAUAGCAUAGCGAUGAACGGCCCAGCGUUAUGCUGGAUGGGAUGAUUCUGGAUUAGGCACCGUCGUUAGUACACAAAACCCUCUGUUAGACUAGCGAAACAAGUUUCAGUAAGUUUCAAUGGCAACGUUAGUCGGCCGUCA